AUUAAUAAUAGCUCUUAAAUCUCUUUUAGAAUCAUUAUUUUUUUAAAAAAAAUAAAAAAUUAAAUCAAAAAGUAUAAUUAUUAGAAAAUAUUAUUUAGAAGCUAAAAUUUAAGUACUGUAAAGGAAAUUUGAAAAAUUUUAAAUACUUAUUUUUUAAAAAGAAAAAAUUAAAAUUUUUACCUUUUGUAUUAUGGUUUAACAACAUUAUAAAGGAAAAUUUUUCCUUUACCCGAAACCAAGGGAUCUAGUGAAACCCCAACAAAAUGGUUGUAAUGUGUUACUGUUACAAAAGUAAACUAAGAGGACUCAUUAGACAUGAAAAAUGAAUCGAACUUGGAGAUAGCUGGUUUUCUGAAUAAAUGAGUUUAAGCUCAAGCUUUUAUAUUUUUAUUAAAUAAAAUUAAAAAAAAUAAAUAAAAAGCUAAACCAAAAGGGAUAAACUUUUUGGUUUAAGGAAAAAGCCUAAAAAAAUAGUUAAAGUCAAAAAUAAACAAUAAGACAUAAAUGAUUAGUAGGCCUAGAAGCAGCCAUCUAAAAAAAAGCGUUAAAGCAUAACAAAAAUAAAUAUCAACCAAUAAUUUAUGAAAAACAAACUAUAACUUCUUAUUAAAAACAGAAUAAUAACUUUAUAGUUAAAAAAUAAUGUUAAAAUUAGUACUUUUAAUAAAAUAAAUUUUGAUUUAGUUAAAAAUAACCUAUUCUAACAAACCUAUUAUAAUGGAAGAAAGAAAAUAAUUUAAUCAAGAAAAAGAUUUUUUUAAUAGUUAACCCAACUCAGGAAAUCAAUUUAAUAAAAAAAUAAUAAGGAAGGAACUCGGCAAAUCUAAGCCUCGCCUGUUUACCAAAAACAUCGCCCCUUGUAACAAAAUAAGAAUAAGGGGUACUGCCUGCCCAGUGAUAUAAAAAUUUAACGGCCGCGGUAUCUUGACCGUGCAAAGGUAGCAUAAUAAUUUGCUCUUUAAUUGAGGGCUAGUAUGAAAGGCAAAACGAAGGCUCAACUGUCUCCCUAUUAAAAAAAGAAAUUAAUAUUUUAGUGAAGAAGCUAAAAUAAAAUUGCAAGACGAGAAGACCCUGUCGAGCUUAAGAAAAUUUUUAUUUAAAAAUAUUAAAAAUUAAGCUAAUUAAAUUAAAAAUACUUUAUAAAUUAAACAAUAAAAAUAUCUUUGGUUGGGGCAACCACGAAGAAAAAAAAACCUUCGACUUUUAAUAAAAAAUAAACAAAUUUAAAAACUUUAAUAAGCUUUACAAAAGAUCCGGUAACACCCGAUCAAAGAAAAAAGUUACCGCAGGGAUAACAGCGUUAUUCUCUUUAAGAGCUCUUAUUGACAAGAGAGUUUGCGACCUCGAUGUUGGACCGGGGCACCCAAGAGAUGCAGAAGUCUCUAAAGGUAGGUCUGUUCGACCUUUAAAGCCCUACGCGAUCUGAGUUCAGACCGACGCAAGUCAGGUCAGUUUCUAUCUACAAAAAUUUAAAAGUAAUUUUAUUAGUACGAAAGGAAUUUAAAAUUGGAACUAAUUUCUCAAAAAAAACUCCAAAAAUAAAACUGAAAAAAAAUUAAGAAAACUUAA
rnacentral:rRNA from 1 species